ACGGUUAUAUUACAUUGAAACAUUGGUUCCCGUAAUAUCUUUGAAGUUAAGCAACCUCGAGCCUGGUCUAGUACCUAGAUGGGUGACCGCUUGGGAAAGUCAAGUGCC